rnacentral:rRNA from 1 species
GGGACACGUGGUAUCCUGUCUGAAUAUGGGGGGACCAUCCUCCAAGGCUAAAUACUCCUGACUGACCGAUAGUGAACCAGUACCGUGAGGGAAAGGCGAAAAGAACCCCGGCGAGGGGAGUGAAAAAGAACCUGAAACCGUGUACGUACAAGCAGUGGGAGCACGCUUAGGCGUGUGACUGCGUACCUUUUGUAUAAUGGGUCAGCGACUUAUAUUCUGUAGCAAGGUUAACCGAAUAGGGGAGCCGAAGGGAAACCGAGUCUUAACUGGGCGUUAAGUUGCAGGGUAUAG